rnacentral:lncRNA from 1 species
CUGGGACUUAAACAGCCUUUUCAUAUUUCAUAGAUUGUGUCGCUGUGCGAUUAGCUAUCAAAGCAGCCGAAGUCAAAUAGAAUGAAUCGGUAGGACCACGUGAUAAUUAUGGAUUAUGUGACAGUGUUGAUAAAAAAAAAGGGGGGGGCGUUGCAGUAUUCACCAUCAGUAUGGAAACACACAUUUCUCCAAGGAGCAGCUUCUUGUAUGUGUAGCCUUUGGCACAUUCUUGCUAAAAUGAGGGAUUCCACAUCUCCGAACUCUUACCUGGAUUUCGCCUCUAAAACCGGAUCAGCUACCACGCCCUAACCUGCAUUCAACUUCCUGUCUACCUGGACACCUGCAUCCAUCUGCACGCCAUUCUCCCUGCCAGAAUUCCGUCCAUACUCACCUUAUACGCUUUUCUGUUUGACCAUUAAACCACCAUUCUCUGUCACUUCUUGUCCUUGUCUGCUUUUG